rnacentral:rRNA from 1 species
UACGUAGGGUGCAAGCGUUAAUCGGAAUUACUGGGCGUAAAGCGUGCGCAGGCGGUUUUGUAAGACUGUCGUGAAAUCCCCGGGCUUAACCUGGGAAUGGCGAUGGUGACUGCAAGGCUAGAGUUUGGCAGAGGGGGGUAGAAUUCCACGUGUAGCAGUGAAAUGCGUAGAUAUGUGGAGGAACACCGAUGGCGAAGGCAGCCCCCUGGGUCAAAGCUGACGCUCAUGCACGAAAGCGUGGGGAGCAAACAGG